rnacentral:rRNA from 1 species
AAUAACAUAACGACUCUCGGCAACGGAUAUCUCGGCUCUCGCAUCGAUGAAGAACGUAGCAAAAUGCGAUACUUGGUGUGAAUUGCAGAAUCCCGUGAAUCAUCGAGUCUUUGAACGCAAGUUGCGCCUGAAGCCUUUAGGCCAAGGGCACGUCUGC